UAUGGAUGUAAAUAUCCCUCAGACCUGAGAUCACCACAGUGAUUAGCAAGCAACUUACUGUACUUUGGUACCGAACUAGCAGAAUUUCUAAUUCUGGAACGGAAGGUUACUGGGUGCAGUCAAGUACUUGCGAAAUCAGUGCGUGAGUCAAGAUGGAAUUGUCCCCUCCUGGAAAUAGGAGAUAAUGGUGUGUUCAAUUUAGCAAAAUCUUGGCCAGGGCAAUCCUUGUGAUGAGUCACAGGAUUUCUAAAGUUGAUCACACAGUGGAUGUACUGAUUAGAGAGUUGACAGAACUCUGUGGUCAUCCUAGCAUUAGGAGUCAAAGGGAUGAAUUAUACAGUAACCAUAGUCUAGGGUUUCAGAAUAUUUGCUUCGCAUAUAUUCGGCCUAUCCAGAUGUCGGAUACCAUUGCUAGAUGGUCACAUCGAUUAGUGCAAGAAGUCGUUCCUGUACUAGAGGCUUAGGUUCGAACCAAUGAGGUCACACGCAUAGAAGUUUUCUGAUUGAUCAAAAUAGCUGAUGGAUGAUUGAGAAUCAUUUAGGA
rnacentral:lncRNA from 1 species